UAGGAUUACAGACAUGCCGUACC
rnacentral:piRNA from 1 species